rnacentral:sRNA from 1 species
GUCAUUUAUCAAUAAAUAAAAGGAUCAAAAGCAAUUUCCACAGUGAUAAGGAUGCUAAUUUGCCCAGGACUUAGCCUUGAAGCCCUCGCCCAUCCUUAAGUUAUCUACCUUCCAUAUUUACCAGCUCUCAAGGAUGUUGCCUUUUGUGCUCAAAGACAGUGAGCCUCAUGAUGUGUAUUCUCAGCCCUACCUUGGUACCAUGCCUGAGGGUGGGCAUCCUGGAGCCAUCUGUGUCACCAGGAAUGGCUCGGGAACUUCUGUCCCUGGCCCCUUAGAGGAGGCAUGCUUGGGCUUCAGUUAGGCAGCCCCCUCCCCUUGGAGCAGACACAGCACAGAGCACACAAGGAGGAGGUGCUGUUGUAGCUACGGGAGUCAUUGUCCUCGAUUCCUGGCACGGAAUCCCCAAGUCCAUAACUUCCAGACAAUAGAGAAAGCCUCUUCUGCCCUAAUAUGUCACCUUUGACCUAGUCCCUGGUGCAGAACUUCCGAAUCCCGUGGGAUGCCCUAGGCUAUAGAAGCCUCUUUUGUCCCAGGGACCUUUUGCUGAUCCGCUGUUGAGGCUGGUCACCCCGUGAAAAUGUUCAGCCUCACCCCAUAUCUCACCCCAUAUCUCACCCCAUAUCCUCCAGCAAGUGAAGGGGACUGCAGACUGCCCUGAUGGUUGGGUGAGUCAGGAAAGCAUUUCUGUGACCUCUGUGAAGACUUCUAGCAAAGGAUGGAUCCCAAAAGGAUUGUGAGAGCCUUGGAUUUGCAGCCAAAUCAGACAGAGGGCGACUAGGAUGUGUAUAUAAGUGCAAGUGGCUGUGGGGUCCAGAAAAGGACAUCACAGAGGAGGACGUCACAGAGGAGGACGUCACAGAGGAGGACGUCACAGAGGAGGACGCCACAGAGGAGGACAUCACAGAGGAGGACGCCACAGAGGAGGACAUCAGAUCCCUGAAGUGACAGGCGGCUGUAAGACAUUUGACAGGGGUACUGGGAACUGAACUCAAAAUCUUUGCAAGAGCUCUACAUGCUCUUUACCACUGAGUGAUCUCUGCAGUCUUCAAGUCGCCAUGUUUAAGAAUACAGAACUGGAGGACAUCCCUAUUGGUGUGUUGUCAUCACUACCAUCUAUCCACAGAACUUCCAAGGCCAACUCACUGUACCCAAGCAUUUUAAAGUGGAAACUCUGUUCACAGUUCAUGGGCCAUGUAAAGGCAGGUGCACACCAGCUCGCCCUAGAGGUCACAGUCUGCUGGCUCCAUAUUAGAGCAAAGCAUACCAGACGUUUCUGUGAUACUGAGAAGUGAGAGAGGGCCUUGGCCAGAGCCCACUCCCUUAGACAGCACGAGGACUGGCCGGGGGACCUUUCCUCUGCCCAGCGCCUGGGCUGAUGUCGCUGGUGAGCCUCGGAAAGGAGCUUCCUCCUCCCCCGAGGACUACUUAACUGGCAGGUGGAAUGAAAGGAGUUUUGUCUGAGAUGUGUACUGUAAAAUCCAGCUCACGUGGGAAGAUCGUCGCGAAUAAAGAGCUCCUGCUUGCAUCUUGAAAUGAAAGGGGGAACGUUCUCACCCUAUCACCGGAUAAACAUGCACUUAACAGUUUCAGUCAUUGUCCUCGAGAGUGCUUAUGUAUGCUAGCUAGCUAGGUACUAGAGAGAGUUUAUCCCUUUAAACAGGAACCAUGCCUACGACCGCCUGCUUCCUUUGUUACCUAAAUGCUCUAGGUUAUGGCCUUCUUUUGCUGUCCCUCAUCCUGAAUGAUUAAAUAAGGCUUCUCAAGUCAGAGUCUCCUCGGAAAACACUCUGAGGAUCAGCACUCCGUAGUAAGGAUGAGGACCCUUGGGUCUGCGGGUCUCAGGUGAUUUAGCUGUGCUGUGGUACUUGGGAGCCUCGGGCUUAGAUACAGUGCCCCUCUCUGCCACAUUCCCCAGAUGGUUCAGCAUUGGGUAUGGUAUGAAUUCACAAUUCAUGCUGAUGUAAAAGGAAGCCCCAAGUGGCACAGCAGGCAUCUGGCCUUGGAAACUGCUGCCAUGUAUUGGCGCUUGGUUCAGUUCCCCUGGGAGGUGCCUAAGGCCUCAUUUCUCCCAGACACCUGCUUUAACCGUCCUCCCUGCAGGCCCCGCCCUUUAUCUCUAGAGGAGAAUAGGAGACUGUGAUGCUUACCU